rnacentral:lncRNA from 1 species
GAUCAAUUAUCAAUGAUCAAAAGAUUGUCAUCAACCAAGACUAACUAUAAGGGCAAAAUGGUCCACAUAAAAAAUGAUGAAAAUAAUAAUAAUAAUAAUAAUAAUAAUAAUAAUAAUAAUAUUAAUAAAAGUAUUGAUGGAAUUAUUUGAGGAAAAAAAAGAUUGACAAAAGAAAAAUAAAUAGGAAACAAAAAGAGAAAACCAAUUGAUUAAGUGAUGAAAAGUAUUAAAUAAAUAAACACAUAAAUUAAAAAAAGGAAGAAAAAAAAAAGAAAAUGUGGAGAAAGUGAAAAAUAAAGCAAAGUUUAUUGGAUCAAAACCAUUGAAUUUAGGGGAUCGAUCAAAUGUACGUUUCAUCUCCCAAAAUGAAUGAAUGGUAUUGAUCAGAUGAAAUUCCUAUCAUAAUCAAUUUUUGUUUCUAUUUCCCCUCCCUCCUCAUCUUCA